UAGGCUGUCAUCUAGAAGUCCCCUUCUCUUUGUUUCGUCAGAGGUCAGAUUCGAUCUUCAUGGCUCGUUCUUCCAAGAACACGGCUUCGUCCUUUUCCAGAAAUCUUCAUCAUCGUAAGAUUCAACUUCAUCAUCCAUCUGGUUCUGAGUUUGUUACUUCCGUUCAAGGAGGAUCGUGCGCUAAAGGAUUAUUUCUCUGAGAUUGACGUCACGAUUCAUGGACGAAAAGGCCAAGACUCUUCUUUGUUUAUCAAGACUUCACAGAAUGUUCUUUCUUUGCGCAUUAUACAUGCAAGGUUUUAGCUGCCUGGGGAGGCUCCAUGGAGGCAGUGGUUGAUGGGUAUUCUUCAAGUCAGGGGUGGCAGAUAAUCUGGUUGUGUAAUCUAUUGAAACUUGGAGCGAAAUGGGAUGAAGUUGUGAUGUUGGAUGAAUGAAAUGUACUGGGAUAAAGAAACCCUUGCACAGUGGGUUGAGUCCUUGUUUUGUCAUCCGACCUUUGCCAUGACAGGUGCGCUUGCAUGGCAGGUCACACAAAUCUUAAUAAAAUUUCUCUUUUGGUGGUUUUGAGGGGAGUUCGCACGGGAUAGUCCGGGUUCUCCCCUGUGUGUGUGGUGUGUCUGCUCUCCUUUUCAUUGCCUCUAUCUCUUUUCAUUGAAUUUGCUACUAUCGUCCUAAUGCACCCCUGUGCACGUGCUUGGAUUCAUGAACUUGUUACUAUCUACCCCUAUGCACCAUAUCGGUUGGAUUCAUAAACCUGAUACUAUUUCCGGAUGCACUUGAGUGUUGGAUUCAUAACCAUCUCAGCUAGAUAAGGCCUUAAACCCAUUCUACAAUCAGAUCCUGUUGCACUAACGCAUUCUGCACUUCUACUCGAAAGAUCUGGAGGUACCGGAAUAUGGUGGCUAGCAAACCUCCAAUUCUGAUGGGUUCCAGCAACUCCCCUCGGUCCCAGGUUUGGCUCCUCUCCAGUUCACUUCCGAUCAAACCAGCACUCAGCAACCCACAGCAAAAUACAGCGGCAACUCUCAAACAAACAGAAAUGAAAAUGAGCAAAACUGCAGCAAUUGGUUCACCCUAAAUAUUCCAACAACACCACUGUCCAUGAACACAAGAAUAUAAAUGGAAAAGAAGAAUACAGCAUCAUAUUGCACUCAAAGAGCUCCAGAAAUAAUAGUCAUUACAGUAGCCAUCAGAGUGUGUAAUUGUAUCUGAAAAUGGAAACGACUGAAGAAAAAGGAAAAAUAUGUUAGCUGGGUUUCCAGAGCCAACCCACUCUAACUGUAAUACAAUAAAUCAAACUCAAUAAAAGGAUUUAUUCUUCUCUACCCUUCUUUGCCUACUAUUAUUUCCUUUAUUUACUGGAUAUUCUCAUAUCAGAAUGGUGGUCCCGCACUCCUCAUGUGCUGCUACCCAUUAUCUCUUGGAGGCGUUAAUUCAACAAACUCUAGACCAGCAACUGAAUUUCUCUACUGAUUUAGCUGUUGGAUUUCUUGGACCGUCUCUACAAAAUUUUACUUUGAAUUAAAUUACUAAAACAAAACUGGAAUCUGCUAUUGCUUCUUCUUUUAUUGGAUUAUAAACAUUCAACUAGUUGUUUGAAGCAUUGAAGAGAAAGAUGGUUGGACCAGAGAGGCCUCAGUUUGUGCUGUUUGUGUUCAAUUCUGGCUGACAUUGGUGUUCGUAUGGUACUUAUCAUAAACCCUUUUCUUCAAUUUUUUUAGUUCACUAUUUUUUUCUGUUUGUGUUGAGCUUGAAGUUUAUAGUUGCGGAUGACUAGGAUAAGAUACAAUAAUAUUGAAAAGAUGGUUUUUGAUUCAAAGCAUGGGAGAAAUCAUUUGACAGGCUUUGUCAAGAAUAAUUUAAAGAAUUAUCCUGGAAAUAUUUUUUGCUUUUUCUAUUGGGAAAGUGAAGAUUUAUAUUGUUUUGCUUUUUUUUUUUUUCUUUUGUUUCUGUUUAGUUUUGUUUUGCAAAAUACUGUCUUUGUUUCUAUUCUAUGCCAAGUUUUUGUAUUGUUGUGUGUUCAUAGUAUCUCAGCCAUUGUUAAUGGUGGAGUCCAUAUUUCUUGACUGAACUUAAAUAUUUAUAUUACAAUCUCUCUUAUUAAUUUUAGUCUGUAGAUUAAUUUGCAUGCCCGACAAUAUUGUUUAUGAAAUAUUUCUGAAAUUAAAAACAUAUUAUCAGCCCACUACACCAUAAUUUGUUACAGGAGAAAAGUAGUUGGAAAAUUUAGAAGUACAGCUGCAUUUCAGCUUUGUGGUGGUUGGUUCUGUGGCGCUGACCUUUCAACGUUUUCUAAUUGAAUUGGGAAAUGGCUAAUUUUGAUUGAAAUGCUACAUCAAAUAAUUGUAAUUGUGUGGCUAGUUUUAGAAAUGCAGUUUCCAGUCAGGGUGAGAGUGAUUGGUGAUAACAUUUCAUAAUAUUCCAUUAUCACUUUACUGUAGAAGCAGGGGUGAAUUCCAAUUGAGUCAUACCCAAACAAGGAGCUCGGUUCAAAUUGGAAUAACUCGAGCUCAAGCUGGCUCAAAUGGUGAAUAGUAAUGCCAGAGAAGAUAACAAAUCGGUAGAGAAGGAGAUUAAAAAGAAUCACCAAAAAGGAAGAGCUUUGAUGAGUUGAUUUACUGAAAAAGAUUUGAACUUCUGGUAUAUAGUAUAUUAUAUUCUUAUUAGUUCUUACAAACCCUACUAUUUAAUUAGCAAGAACAUUUUUAGUUGAGUCUAGAAGCUUACACUGGAACCAUGAGUAUCAUGAUAUCCCUGAAGAAGCUAAAGCAUGAACUUUCCGAUUUGACAGAAACUUAAUAUGGAGUCUCUUCCGAUUCCUGCUACUGUUUUCCGGACUCUAGUGUGAUAUAUAGGAUUGUUUUUUGGGGCAUAUUGGCAUUAAUUACUAAUGUAAUGUUAUGUUUCAAUCAAUGAAGGAUGCUGCUGUAUAUCCUGCAUUGGUAAUCUUGCCUGAAUAUAUGGAAAACAUGAGUUCAUCUCAAGAGCUUUACUCUGAGU